rnacentral:rRNA from 1 species
GUCGAGCGAAGGCUGGAUUUGUAGCAGAGAUGAUUGAUUUUCACUUUGUGGAGAUCAUGAGUUUCUGUUAUUGCCGGUCUUAGCGGCGAACGGGUGAGUAACGCGUGAAUAAUCUGCCCUUGAAAUCGGGAUACCAUUUCGAAAGGAAUGCUAAUACCGAAUAACGUUACGAAACACAGGUUUCAUAACCGAAGUUGAGUCUUUGGAUUCUUCGUUCAAGGAUGAGUUCGCGUCCUAUUAGCUAGUUGGUGAGGUAAAGGCUUACCAAGGCUAUGAUGGGUAGCCGGCCUGAGAGGGCGUACGGCCACAUUGGGACUGAGACACGGCCCAGACUCCUACGGGAGGCAGCAGUAGGGAAUCUUCCGCAAUGGGCGAAAGCCUGACGGAGCGAUGCCACGUGGAUGAUGGAGGCCCUCGGGUCGUAAAAUCCUGUCAGUGGGGACGAUGGUUAAUCUUCGGAUUGAUUGACGGUACCUGCAGAGGAAGCUCCGGCAAACUACGUGCCAGCAGCCGCGGUAAUACGUAGGGAGCAAGCGUUGUUCGGAUUUACUGGGCGUAAAGAGUGCGUAGGUGGCUAUAUAAGUCAAGGGUGAAAUCUCUACUUUCAAGGUAGAAACUGCCUUUGAUACUGUAUAGCUAGAGGACAAGAGGGGGAAACGGAAUUCUGGGAGUAGCGGUGAAAUGCGUAGAUAUCCAGAGGAACGCCAGUAGCGAAGGCGGUUUCCUGGCUUGUUUCUGACACUGAGGCACUAAAGCUAGGGGAGCGAUCGGGAUUAGAGACCCCGGUAGUCCUAGCCCUAAACGAUGGGUACUAAGUGUGGGGGGAGCAUUACCCUCUGUGCUGAAGCUAACGCGUUAAGUACCCCGCCUGGGGAGUACGGUCGCA